rnacentral:pre_miRNA from 1 species
AUCGUACUCCCUCCGUCUCAAAAUUCUUGUCUUAGAUUUAUCUAUAUAUAGAUGUAUCUAGCACUAAAAUGUGAAUAGAUACAUCCGUAUAUAAACAAAUCUAAGACAAUCUAGCACUAAAACAUGAAUAGAUACAUCCAUAUGUAGACAAAUCUAAGACAAGAAUUUUCAGACGAAGGGAGUACUUC